AGUGACGCUGGCGCGUGCCUAACACAUGCAAGUCGAGCGAGAAGGUUAUGAUGGAUUCUUCGGAUGACAGAUUAACUGGAAAGCGGCGGACGGGUGAGUAACGCGUGGGUAACCUGCCCCAUACACAGGGAUAGCCAUUGGAAACGAUGAUCAAUACCUGAUAAUACAUAUGAAUCGCAUGAUUUGAAUGUCAAAGAUUUAUCGGUAUGGGAUGGACCCGCGUCUGAUUAGCUAGUUGGUAAGGUAAUGGCUUACCAAGGCGACGAUCAGUAGCCGACCUGAGAGGGUGAUCGGCCACACUGGAACUGAGACACGGUCCAGACUCCUACGGGAGGCAGCAGUGGGGAAUAUUGCACAAUGGGCGCAAGCCUGAUGCAGCAACGCCGCGUGAACGAAGAAGGCUUUCGGGUCGUAAAGUUCUUUUCUUAGGGAAGAAAGAUGACGGUACCUAAGGAAUAAGCACCGGCUAAAUACGUGCCAGCAGCCGCGGUAAUACGUAUGGUGCAAGCGUUAUCCGGAAUCACUGGGCGUAAAGGGUACGUAGGCGGUGAUGCAAGUCAGAGGUGAAAGGCUACGGCUCACCCGUAGUAAGCUUUUGAAACUGCAUGACUAGAGUUCAGGAGAGGUAAGUGGAAUUCCUAGUGUAGAGGUGAAAUUCGUAGAUAUUAGGAGGAACACCAGUGGCGGAGGCGACUUACUGACUGAUACUGACGCUGAGGUACGAAAGCGUGGGGAGCGAACAGGAUUAGAUACCCUGGUAGUCCACGCUGUAUACGAUGAAUACUAGUGUCCGGGAGUCGAGCAUCGGCGCCGCAGUUGAACACAUUAAUUAUGCCGCCUGGCGAGUACGCAGGCAAGUGUGCAACUCAAAGAAUGACGG
rnacentral:rRNA from 1 species